GGGGGCGGGGCCCAGGGUCCGCGCCGGCGCCAACAGGCUGGCGCCCUCCCUCGCAGUCCCCCCAAGUCCGCGAAGGGAUCCCCAGCGGCAGCCAGCGGAGCCCAGCCCGGGGAGGCGGCGCCAUGGCGUGCGCAGGGCUGCUCACCGUGUGCCUGCUCCGGCCCCCUGCGCCCGAGCGCCCGCGGCCCCCCGCGCCCCCACCCUCUGCCGGGCCCGCCGGACACGCGCUCUUCCAGGACGUUUUUCACAGAGCAGACAAGAAUGAUGACGGGAAGCUCUCAUUUGAGGAGUUCCAGAAUUACUUCGCUGAUGGGGUUCUCAGCCCAGCAGAGCUGCGGGAGUUGUUCAGCAGCAUUGAUGGGCAUCCCACUGACAAUCUGGAGACGGAGAAGCUGUGUGACUACUUUUCAGAACACUUGGGUGUCUAUCAGCCGGUGCUAGCUGCCUUGGAGUCUCUGAACCGUGCAGUGCUCACUGCCAUGGACACCACCAAGCUGGAAUAUGAACAGGCCACCAAAGUGGACCAGUUUGUGACACGCUUCCUGCUGCGGGAGACGGCGAGCCAGCUGCAGGCCCUGCAGAGCUCACUGGAGGGUGCUUCGGAGACCCUGGAGGCCCAGGCCCGAAAGCCCGGGUCCCAUGAAGAGAGCGAGACAGUGCAGAACAGGCCCCGAGGCAGCCGGCGGGCAGGGCGCCGGGCCCCAAGGAGCCUCACUUGGUCUCCCACCUGGCCAGGCUCCUCGGUUACAGGGCACAGCUCAGAAGCUGAGAUGCAAUGGCGGCUUCAGGUCAACAGGCUCCAGGAGCUCAUCGACCAGCUAGAGUGCAAGGCCCCCCGGCUGGAGCCCCUGCAUGAAGAGGAGCUUACCAAGGGGUCCAACUCACACAUCCUUGUGGCCCAGCGGCAGGUACAGGUGGCAGAGGAGGCCCUGCAAGACUUCCACCGUGCCCUGUGCUGCUAUGUGGACUUCACACGGGCUCAGGGCCAAUGCUUGCAUGUGUCCACCCAGAAGCUGGACGGCGCCUCCUUCAUGCUGUAUGAGUUCUGGCAGGACGAGGCCUCUUGGAGACGAACUAGGACCUUAAGCCUGCACAAUUUCACUACUUCCAGCCCAUUUACACACACACACACACACACACACACACACACACACACACACAGCUUGUGGUGCCAUAGCACCUCCCAUGUAGUGCCAGGAGUUGAACCCGGGCUGUGUGCACAGCACAGCAUGUGCCCUGCCUGGUGACCUGGCUGCCGGGUACUGUCAGCCCCAAGCCACCCUCUGUGUCAGGCACCUUGUGUGUGGCCCUGGGCAACACUUACACUGCCCCGAGAAAGGACACCAUUAUACCCCAACUCGCAGGGGGGAAACACUGAGGCUCAGAGCCAACACGAGGAAGGACAGGGAUGGACCCAGGCAGCAGCCCUGGGGGGGGGGUUAGGGCACUCUCCCCAACACCACUCUGCUCUUGGGGGACUGGCUGCAGCCCCAUCUGCCACAUCCCCCUAGGCACCAGCAAUCCUCCUGCAGCAAGGCCUUCCAGCGCGUCCUCAUUGAUCACCUGCGAGCUCCGGACACCCUUACCACUGUGUUCUUCCCAGCCUCUUGGUGGAUCUUGAAUAAUAACUGAGCCUGCUCUGCGUGAGCCCAGGCCUCCAGGACUGGCUGCCCAGCACCACCUGAGGACAUGCUGCCUCUCCGCCCACCUGCCUGCCUGCCAGGGGCUCUUCCAGCCCGAGGAAGGGCACCAGGCUGCUUGCUUUAUUUCUCGCAGUGUGCUGUUUGUAGCUUUGGCCUUUGAUGCACUCUGACCGCUGGUUUGGGAGGCUGAGGUCCUGGCCCCUGGCCCAGCGCAGACAUCCCUACCUGGUUGGCCCUCAGGCCCUGCAGCUGACCAGUGGGUGCCCUGCUUCCUUCCUGGGUCCUGGCACCAGGCUGCUCCUCCGUAACCAACAGCAGAACCAGGGCUGCUGCUCAGGGACACCCCCAUCCCAAACCUCGGAGGCCCCUAAGGCUGGGCGGUAGGUCUGCAGAGGGGGUAAGGCUCUCAGUCAUCCUCUGGGCUAGUUUGCAUGUCAUCUACAUAUCAUUUGCAUGUUCUCACCCACCCCAUACUCAGGGCUCUGUGGGAAUCCCCAAGGUGACCUUGUUACAUAGCAAUAAUUUGGGCCCAGAGUCACCUGCUGCCCCCAGAUACCUCUGAACCUAGAGGCAAUAAAGGUAGUGAUUAUC